ensembl:lncRNA
CCUUCUUCCACUCUUCUUUCCUUCUUCUACUCUUCUUUUCUUUCUUCACUCUUCUUUCCUUCUUCUUUCUUUUCUUCUUUCCUUUCUUCACUCUUCUUUCCUUUCUUCUUUCCUUCUUCCACUCUUCUUUCCUUCUUCUACUCUUCUUUUCUUUCUUCACUCUUCUUUCCUUCUUCCACUCUUCUUUCCUUCUUCUACUCUUCUUUUCUUUCUUCACUCUUCUUCCACUCUUCUUUCCUUCUUCCACUCUUCUUUCCUUUCUUCUUUCCUUCUUCCACUCUUCUUUCCUUCUUUCUCUCUUCUUUCUUUUCUUCUUUCCUUCUUCCACUCUUCUUUCCUUCUUUCACUCUUCUUUCUUUUCUUCUUUCCUUCUUCCACUCUUUUUUCCUUCUUUCACUCUUCUUUCCUUCUUUCCUUCUUUCACUUUUCUUUUUUUUUCUUCUUUCCUUCUUCCACUCUUCUUUUCUUUCUUCACUCUUCUUUCUUUUCUUCUUUCCUUCUUCUUUACUUCUUCCACUCUCCUUUCCUUUCUUCUUUCCUUCUUAUACUUUUCUUUUUUUUCCUCUUUCCUUCUUCUUUCCUUUCUUCACUCUUCUUUCCUUCUUCUACUCUUCUUUUCUUUCUUCACUCUUCUUUCCUUCUUCCACUCUUCUAUCCUUCUUCCACUCUUCUUUCCUUCUUUUACUCUUCUUUCCUUUCUUCUUUCCUUCUUUCUUUUCUUCUUCCACUCUUCUUUCCUUUCUUCUUUCCUUCUUUCACUCUUCUUUCUUUUCUUCUUUCCUUUCUUCACUCUUCUUUUCUUUAUUCUUUCCUUCUUCCACUCUUCUUUUCUUUCUUCUUUCCUUCUUCCACUCUUCUUUUCUUUCUUCACUCUUCUUUCCUUCUUCCACUCUUCUUUCCUUUCUUCUUUCACUCUUCUUUCUUUUCUUCUUUCCUUUCUUCACUCUUCUUUUCUUUAUUCUUUCCUUCUUCCACUCUUCUUUCCUUCUUCCACUCUUCUUUCCUUUCUUCACUCUUCUUUCCUUUCUUCUUUCCUUCUUCCACUCUUCUUUCCUUCUUCCUCUCUUCUUUCCUUCUUUCCUUUCUUCUUUCCUUUCUUCUUUCACUCUUCUUUCUUUUCUUCUUCCUUUCUUAACUUUAGCAUUUCAUGCACUGGUAUUUCCUUCAGGAAAUGCAUUUUCUAGUUCUUCUUCUUCUUAUUAUUCUCUUUACCGACUUCUGCGCUUAAUUCAGCUCGAAGCGCUUAACUUAGAAACUCCGUUCAAACUUUGGCGCGUAGGUCUUGUAAAGGACACUUAUGCUAUGUAUUUUUCAUUUUUCUAAACUUUAUACUUUUUAAAAUAUUAAAUAAAAACUAAUACAAUUUCUCCCAUUGACUUACAUUGGGCCAUUAUGACAUCAUAAUAGGGUCUUUAAACUGGCUUGCACCUGUGCUUCACUGACACCUGCGCCAAGGUUCCAAGGCUCCUCUUCUCUCUGUCCCUCUCCAUUCAACUGUAUAACUAGGAAUAUUAUUCUUUCCUUCUUCCACUCUUCUUCUUUCAUUCUUCCACUCUUCUUUCCUUCUUCCACUCUCCUUUCCUUUCUUCUUUCCUUCUUCCACUCUUCUUUCCUUCUUCUACUCUUCUUUUCUUUCUUCACUCUUCUUUCCUUCUUCCACUCUUCUUUCCUUCUUCUACUCUUCUUUUCUUUCUUCACUCUUCUUUCCUUCGUCUUUCUUUUCUUCUUUCCUUUCUUCACUCUUCUUUCCUUUCUUCUUUCCUUCUUCCACUCUUCUUUCCUUCUUCUACUCUUCUUUUCUUUCUUCACUCUUCUUUCCUUCUUCCACUCUUCUUUCCUUCUUCUACUCUUCUUUUCUUUCUUCACUCUUCUUUCCUUCUUCCACUCUUCUUUCCUUUCUUCUUUCCUUCUUCCACUCUUCUUUCCUUCUUUCUCUCUUCUUUCUUUUCUUCUUUCCUUCUUCCACUCUUCUUUCCUUCUUUCACUCUUCUUUCUUUUCUUCUUUCCUUCUUCCACUCUUUUUUCCUUCUUUCACUCUUCUUUCCUUCUUUCACUUUUCUUUUUUUUUCUUCUUUCCUUCUUCCACUCUUCUUUUCUUUCUUCACUCUUCUUUCUUUUCUUCUUUCCUUCUUCUUUCCUUCUUCCACUCUUCUUCCACUCUUCUUUCCUUCUUUCACUUUUCUUUUUUUUUCUUCUUUCCUUCUUCCACUCUUCUUUUCUUUCUUCACUCUUCUUUCCUUUCUUCUUUCCUUCUUAUACUUUUCUUUUUUUUACUCUUUCCUUCUUCUUUCCUUUCUUCACUCUUCUUUCUUUUCUUCUUUCCUUCUUCCCUUCUUCUUUCCUUCUUCGACUCUUCUUUCCUUUCUUCUUUCCUUUCUUUACUCUUCUUUCCUUUCUUAUUUCCUUCUUUCACUCUUCUUUCUUUUCUUCUUCCUUUCUUAACUUUUGCAUUUCAUGCACUGGUAUUUCCUUCAGGAAAUGCAUUUUCUAGUUCUUCUUCUUAUUCUUUGUACCAAACUUCUGCGCUUAAUUCAGCUUGAACCGCUUAACUUAGAAACUUCAUUCAAACUUUGUCGCUUAGGUCUUGUAAAGGACACUUAUGCUAUGUAUUUUUCA